GUGGGUGUAGCUCAGCCCGGUAGAGCGCUUGACUGUGGCUCAAGAAGUCGCGGGUUCAAAUCCCGUCACCUACCCCA
rnacentral:tRNA from 1 species